ensembl:lncRNA
CAGAUUACUACAAGUUGUUUGGGAGGAAAUCUGUGAGGAGGCCUGUGAUGAUUAUGUGCGAUGGGUCGCUUGUUCUGAUGCAAGUUGUUGCCUACAGUUUUUGUAAACUUCCUUUGGAUGUCUUGAUCAGUAUGUACUAUGACAUUGUCACAGGACAGUUGAAAGAUGUAAUCAAACUGCCAAUUCUUCAUCGCUGCCUGAGCCACAUCAUGAAGAAUGCUAAAGUGUUCUGCAGGAAACAUUCCCCCAAACACUACAGGCUGUCUAUGCAUCUUUUUGGCCUCUUGACAAGUGCUGCCACACUGAUGGAAAUGGAUGACAUAAUUACCAGCAUGACAGUACUGUUCUCAAGCCCUCAGAGUGGUGAAAAUGUGGAAAAACACUUCCAAAAUCUUCAGAACAGCAUGCAAACAAUCAGCUUUUAUGAAGGAAGUGACCGUGCAGAAAAUGACUUGGAGAUCACCACUGGACCCACAACAUUUCAGAGUCAUUUUGAGGAAAUAGUGGCAAAUGCACCUGUAGAUGAAAAGGGGGAGCCAAAUGAGUAUUAUUCACGUACAUUCAUGCCAAACCUGGUAAAAUACUUCCUACCUCAGGCACCUUUGUGGUCUGGUCUCAUGCUGGGUGAUCUUGGCCGCCAUGGAAAAGGACCUGCCUACAAAAGUUUGUCCAAGUUUUAUAUGCGUUGCAGUCAGUUAGCCACACAAAACUACACUGAGGACAACAAGACACAAGGAAUAAUGGAAAAAAGCCAAUGGGAUCUGAAAAAAAUUAGAUUCCAGAGACGCCGUCUCACAAGACUUGAUGACUUUGUACAGAUUUAUCAACAUACUCAUAAUGCUCUCUUAAAAGAGUUCUCUGACUCUACACGCAAGAGAAAAACUUACAGGGUAAAUGUUGAACGCUGGAGAGAAAGGAAACCUUCCAAAAAAGGCAUCUAUGUGUCGCCAAUAAAAAAGUCUUUUCCAUUCAAGACAGCCAAAGUGGCUGCAGUUAAAGGCAGCCAGAAGCCAGUGGAAGGACAGAAGACAGUCUCUGACAGUAGUUUGACUGGAACCAAGCCAGAUAAGGCUGCAGUUAAAGGCCGCCAGAAGCCAGUGGAAGGACAGAAGACAGCCUCUGACAGUAGUUUGACUGGAAACAAGCCAGAUAAGGAACUUUUACGGAAAACUGACAUUCUCCCAAGCAAACAUGGCAGUACAAAAAAAUCUAUUAACAAGAAUUACGGUCCAUGCUGGCAAGGAGCAGACCCCUCCAAAAAUAUACCAGUAAAAAGACUACAAAUUCCUCCACAGGCCCCAAAAGGUAGCAAAAUGACUGCCUUACUCCAUCCACACCAUUGGCUUAGCUGUGACGAGAUUGAUUUUGCGUCUUACUUGCUUGCAAAUGAGUACCCACACAUCGAUGGCUUUCAGUCAACUCUUUUAUUCAGCGUUUUACAUAAUGGAGGUGUUGUGGGUACUCCAAGCGGGCAGUUUGUACAAAUUCUACACACUGGGGGCAACCACUGGGUAACUGCUAGCAACCUGUUUUGCCCAAAAAAUCAGGUUUUCAUAUACGACAGUCUGUCAACAGUGAUGUACAACAAAGAAAAACAAAUCCUGUCUUGGUUGCUUAGGCCAGUGGAAGACCAAUUUUUGGUUACUUACCCUGCUGUCCAACAACAGUCCAAUUCUAGCAACUGUGGCUUGUUUGCAAUAGCAUUUGCUUUUGCAUUAUGCUGUAACCUGAGGCCAGAAAACUGCCAGUUCCGCGAGGGCAGAUUGAGAGCAGAACUUGUAUCUUCUUUCCAGAAAGGACGAAUGCUUUUCAAAACAGAGCCAAGACUUAACAAGGCAAAAUCCACACAAACACUUGUGAAUGUGUACUGCUUAUGCAGGACUGCACACUGCGCUGAAGUCAUGGUUGAAUGUACUUCAUGCAAGAGGUGGUAUCAUCCAAACUGUGCACAGAUACCCCAAAAUGCAAUUACUGGGGAUGAUGACUGGCACUGCCCCAAUUGUACUGGCAAAAUCUAAAACUUUUUUUUUUUCUCUGAAGCCAAUGUGGGAAGUAAAAUGAGUGUAUGGGAAGUAUGGUUCAUUACUGUUUACAUUGCCUAUACAUUGCUUUAAAUAUUAAAAUUGUUAUUGUUUCACUAGUAUUUAAAUUGUUGUCAAUUCAUUUUAAUAUAGCCAUGUAAAGUUAAGUUUUGCAAAUGUCAAGUGUGAAGUAAUUUUAUUAGUACUUUAAGUAUUUUACAAUUUUCAUUAUAUGCACAGUCUCAGGAACACGUC